UUUGCACAAAUCAGACAAAAUACUCCUGAUUAUUUAGAUUAUCUGUUUAUCACAACACCACAAUCUUCUGACCAAAGAUGAUAUUUCCCCUUUUGUUUACAGCCUUCCAGGAGGCAAAAGGUUUCCGAGAACUGGAAUUGCUUGUCUUCUUACAUCACUGCCAGUCAGAUGGACUGCCCUUCACACUGCAGCAUUUGCAGCACCAAACAUCCUGUUGCUAAAUCAGCUGUCCUGUGAUGCAGGGAUACAUGCAAUCUUUGCAGGUCCACUGCUCUGACAAAACACAGGGGACUGGUGUCACAGCUGAAGAAAACUGUUAUGAUUUCUUAGAGCUUGCGGUUAGUAAGUAUGAACUGUUUUUUGAUAAAGUGCUUACCUGUGCAGAGGGCCAAGCAGAAUACCCCUUCCUCUCACUACAUAAGUGAUGAAAAAAGUACAAACAGAAGGUUUUAGAACUAAUGGCUGUGCUGUGACUGGAACAGGCUAAGAACAACACCAGACUGGCAGGACAAGAAGAGAAGCCCUUGUCUUCAUAGGGGAGUAGCUCAGUUCCCUUAGAAGAGACUCCAGGAAAAGUUGUAUGUAGUAGGACUGAAUAGCUUUAAGGGUAUGAGAUGAACCUUGAUGAACCAAUGGUGACUGAGAAUUGCAUACAGUCAUGCUUACUUUGAAUGACUGUGAGGGCCACAAGCAAGCUAAGCACAGGUCUGUUCUCUAGAAUGGCUUAUACACAUCCAGCUAAAGAAGGAUGCCAGAAGUGAAGGACAAAACUAUUACAGCAGCCUCCACUUGCUCUGAAAAGAAAGGUGCUGAGUGUCCAGCAGGGGAUUUCUACAGAUGUGGUCACAGCUCCACUGGUAGCAUGAUGUAGGGUGGGGGAUGUGCAUAAGGACACGGCACCCCGGUAGCUGAAUUAAGGAGCAGUGUUUCACUCAACACUUGAGUGUCACCUAACACAGGUUUGUAGCCAGGCAGGCUCCUCUUUUUGCUACCAUGCUGCUUGGCUUGUGAGUCAAAAUGUUGUGGUGCAGAAAGGGAAAAAUUACCUUAUGGUGUGACACCUAUCUAGGAGUUUUAAUGUAUUCAUCUCUCUAUUAUCUGAGCACACAUUUUCCAACCAUGGCCCUGUGAAUUAUUUUCUCUCAUAAGGUGUGGUUGUGUUUUACAUGUAACCUUGUGCUGCCUGGCUGAAAUAUGAACUCACAGCCUUUAGACCAAUAAUACCAUACAAGUUGUAAUGUUUUCCUCAGACUCUGGGGUAUUGGUUAGCUGCAAAGCUGCCAAAGGACAUUCCACAGUCAGAGGAAAUUGAGUGUAGGUGGGCAGCCCAGAGCCCAAGUGCACACUUAAUAAACUCUCCAUUAUUAUACUUAAAGGUGUGAGUCAUACAAUAAUCAUUCUGCAAUCAAAUUCACUGUUGAGUGUGUUGUUUUUUUCCUUUUAAGUCAAAUGUCACGUAACAGUUGCCAAUGCCUCACAGAAGUUUAAUUUGUGAAAGUGGGAGAAAAUGAAGCAAAGCUAGGUAGCUGACACAUCUACAUGUGUGCAAAUGCCACCUUAGGUGUGCAGUGCUUGUUGGUUUGUUUUUGUUUGGUUGUUUUUCUUUUAUGUGCCACAAAUAAAAUUUUAUUUUGUUGUCUGAGGCUGAGAGACUUUGGCAGAAAAAACGAGUUUGGACAUCUCUCUUGCCUGGUGCCAAUCAGAGAUCUCCAGUAUUAAGCAGGCCUUUGGUGCUGGGGAAGCAUGCAUAAUAUGCUU
rnacentral:lncRNA from 1 species